GUAUCCUGUCUGAAUAUGGGGGGACCAUCCUCCAAGGCUAAAUACUCCUGACUGACCGAUAGUGAACCAGUACCGUGAGGGAAAGGCGAAAAGAACCCCGGCGAGGGGAGUGAAAAAGAACCUGAAACCGUGUACGUACAAGCAGUGGGAGCACGCUUAGGCGUGUGACUGCGUACCUUUUGUAUAAUGGGUCAGCGACUUAUAUUCUGUAGCAAGGUUAACCGAAUAGGGGAGCCGAAGGGAAACCGAGUCUUAACUGGGCGUUAAGUUGCAGGGUAUAGACCCGAAACCCGGUGAUCUAGCCAUGGGCAGGUUGAAGGUUGGGUAACACUAACUGGAGGACCGAACCGACUAAUGUUGAAAAAUUAGCGGAUGACUUGUGGCUGGGGGUGAAAGGCCAAUCAAACCGGGAGAUAGCUGGUUCUCCCCGAAAGCUAUUUAGGUAGCGCCUCGUGAAUUCAUCUCCGGGGGUAGAGCACUGUUUCGGCAAGGGGGUCAUCCCGACUUACCAACCCGAUGCAAACUGCGAAUACCGGAGAAUGUUAUCACGGGAGACACACGGCGGGUGCUAACGUCCGUCGUGAAGAGGGAAACAACCCAGACCGCCAGCUAAGGUCCCAAAGUCAUGGUUAAGUGGGAAACGAUGUGGGAAGGCCCAGACAGCCAGGAUGUUGGCUUAGAAGCAGCCAUCAUUUAAAGAAAGCGUAAUAGCUCACUGGUCGAGUCGGCCUGCGCGGAAGAUGUAACGGGGCUAAACCAUGCACCGAAGCUGCGGCAGCGACGCUGAUGCGUUGUUGGGUAGGGGAGCGUUCUGUAAGCCUGUGAAGGUGUGCUGUGAGGCAUGCUGGAGGUAUCAGAAGUGCGAAUGCUGACAUAAGUAACGAUAAAGCGGGUGAAAAGCCCGCUCGCCGGAAGACCAAGGGUUCCUGUCCAACGUUAAUCGGGGCAGGGUGAGUCGACCCCUAAGGCGAGGCCGAAAGGCGUAGUCGAUGGGAAACAGGUUAAUAUUCCUGUACUUGGUGUUACUGCGAAGGGGGGACGGAGAAGGCUAUGUUGGCCGGGCGACGGUUGUCCCGGUUUAAGCGUGUAGGCUGGUUUUCCAGGCAAAUCCGGAAAAUCAAGGCUGAGGCGUGAUGACGAGGCACUACGGUGCUGAAGCAACAAAUGCCCUGCUUCCAGGAAAAGCCUCUAAGCAUCAGGUAACAUCAAAUCGUACCCCAAACCGACACAGGUGGUCAGGUAGAGAAUACCAAGGCGCUUGAGAGAACUCGGGUGAAGGAACUAGGCAAAAUGGUGCCGUAACUUCGGGAGAAGGCACGCUGAUAUGUAGGUGAAGCGACUUGCUCGUGGAGCUGAAAUCAGUCGAAGAUACCAGCUGGCUGCAACUGUUUAUUAAAAACACAGCACUGUGCAAACACGAAAGUGGACGUAUACGGUGUGACGCCUGCCCGGUGCCGGAAGGUUAAUUGAUGGGGUCAGCGCAAGCGAAGCUCUUGAUCGAAGCCCCGGUAAACGGCGGCCGUAACUAUAACGGUCCUAAGGUAGCGAAAUUCCUUGUCGGGUAAGUUCCGACCUGCACGAAUGGCGUAAUGAUGGCCAGGCUGUCUCCACCCGAGACUCAGUGAAAUUGAACUCGCUGUGAAGAUGCAGUGUACCCGCGGCAAGACGGAAAGACCCCGUGAACCUUUACUAUAGCUUGACACUGAACAUUGAGCCUUGAUGUGUAGGAUAGGUGGGAGGCUUUGAAGUGUGGACGCCAGUCUGCAUGGAGCCGGCCUUGAAAUACCACCCUUUAAUGUUUGAUGUUCUAACGUUGACCCGU
rnacentral:rRNA from 1 species